rnacentral:rRNA from 1 species
AUGAAGAGGGCUGCUGAUAAAGAUAACUAUGGUAAGGAAAACAUACCUAAUAUUCUCCAUGCUUCUAAGAAAACUCUAAAUGAGGUGGCUGAAAAAGUAGGGGUGAAAUUAGGAGAUGACAUUGAUAAGAUUGAACAUAAUAUCAAUGUGGUUAAGAUGGUUGAAAAAGCCAAAAUAGAUCUCUGGCUAGUCAACAAUAAUAAGGAAGGUAAGGAGACUAAUACAAAAAAUGUUGAUGAAACUAAAGAUACCCUAGUGAGUGAUACAUGGGAGCAUGAUAUUGAGGAAUUGAUAGGGGGAGACAUAGAUAGUGGUUAG